ensembl:lncRNA
GAAGAUAAAAAUUACAUUUUAUUGUAAGUCAAUGAAAAGGUUCAUAAGCAAAUGGAAAUGAUCAGAUAUUCACCAUUUUUUGACUAUGAAAUGUAAAUCCUACAUUACAAAGGAGAUAAUGGAUAUAAACGGUGAUUAACUUCUAAAGAAUUAAAUGAACCAAAAAAUAUGUAAAAUUUUAGAUUAUCUUUUAUUCCACUCAAAUACGAUGGUAUUAAACAUAUCCGUCAUUUUUCACCAAACUCCAGUGCUUUGCAAUGAUUGCCUUUGUUAUUUUGAUAUUACAUUAUUGCCUGUGGCAUUCAGAAUUUUGUUUAUGUAUCAGGUCUGGCCACAGUGGCUAAAACAAAAAGGAGUUAUUUUUUUCAAGUAACAAGGGUCAGGAAAUACAGGCAGCUGAGGUCAGUGCAGCUGCUUGUGGAAAUUGUCAAAGACCAAGAUUCACACUCGCUUCCUGGUCUACCGUCCUCAGCAUAUAGUUUUUGCCACCGCUCACUUCCAGGGAAUUUGAUCAUCUUUCAGGCAGAAAAGACGGGCAGAAAGGAAGGGCAGCUCAGACCGUCCUGCCAAGGGACUCCCGCUUAUAACUUUGGCUAGAACACAGCAGCCCUUCUGCGACUGCUUUUAACUCUGUGUCUGAACCAAUCAAAAGCAGGGCUCUCUUAGUAGGACAGUAACGUAUCUGCCGUUGUAUUAUUGCCUUUUGACAGAAAGAGGUUGCAAGACUUCAUAACGAUUGCAGACGAUUUCAAAAUGAGAAUAUGCUUAAGAUUCAUCAGGAAAGUUUACCAGAGGUAGAUUUCCCGUCCUCAAAAGAAAAGAUUCAGUCUGUAGGGAGGAGUCAUCUCUAUGAAUUCAGACACAAACUGUUGACAGAACAGUGUUUGUGAGAUGCAGGUAGAUGCUCUGAUGUUCAUUGAAAAUCCUCUCCAUUACGAUGAGCGGAAUUGAAAGACGAUUUAUGUUGUAAUUUAUUUGAAUACUUCAUCUUCCUGUGGUUGUAUUCUAUUACAUCCUCCUAAUAUUUUCCAUCUGCUUUUUCUUUCUUUCUUUGUGUAUGUGAGACUACUUGACUCAUUGCAAACCUUGCUGUUUCCAAAAAUAAUAAUGAUUAAGUGAACUUAAUACUUACUUUUCUCUCUUCAUUGAUUCUUAAAACACCAAUCGGUCUGGAGGCUAUUACAUACUUUGGGAAAUAAACUCUAGCUCCAUUACUUAUGGUAAAUUUUUAGGAGUUCCUGCUGUGGCUCAGUGGGUAACAAACCCAACUAGCAACCAUGAGGACACAGGUUGGAUCCCUGGACUCGCUAAACGGGUUAAGGAUCCGGUGUUGCGAUGAGCUGUGGUGUAGGUCACAGGCACGGCUCAGAUCCAGCGUGGCCCUAGAAACACAAAAAACGGGAUCAAAAAGGAAGGAGUGGUCCCCUCGCUGGGAACCUCCAUAUGCUGCAGGUGUGGCCCUAGAAACACAAAAAAAAUGAAAAAAAAAUUUAGACAUAUUUAAAAGUGGCAACAUAUUGAAAAAUUUUCAAGCUUGAGAGUGUACAAGCAUAAAGUCCUCAGAACCGCUGGUGGACAAAACUCCUUUUCCAUCUCCUCCCUUUGAUUCUGGUACUGAUUUUAGAAAAUAGCUUUUUGGCCAUGCAUUGAAUAGAAUGUGGUCUGCCCACCUUGGAGGAAGCAAAGGGCUUAGUCGUUGUAAAUUACCGCGCAGUUGCACCCUCCUUGCCAAUGGUGAUGGUUAGAGCAGGCUAGAGUCAAGUGUAAACAUCUAUUCCCAACUACAUGUUCCGUGACUUCAGGUUGGUGGUUUGAAAUUGCCUUCAUGGAUAUAUUCUACGCCACAGAAAUCAGCAAGUGCCGCAAAUCAGGGAUUUUUUUGUUUGGCUCUGUUUUUACUAGAACAUUAUUGCUUGUAAAUUUACACAGCUUUCCUCAUCUUCAGCCCCUUAGAAUUCUGAGUCUUGUUUUGACUAGCUAAGAGGUGGGGCUGAAGGGAGAAAGAAAAGAAAAAAAAAAGGGAUCAAAAAGGAAGGAGUGGAGUUCCUGCUGUGGCUCAGCAGAAACGAAUCUGACUGGUAUCCCUGGGGAUGCAGGUCCGAUCCCUGGUCUCCCACAGUGAGUUAAGGAUCCAGCAUUGCCGUGAGCUGUGGUGUAGGUCGCAGACGCAGCUGGGAUCUGGCAUUGCUGUGGCUGUGGCAUAGGCCAGCAGCCACAGCUCUGAUUGGAUCCCUAAUCUGGGAAUCUCCAUAAGCUGCGGGUACAGCCCUAAAAAUACAAAAAACAAAAAAAAAACAAAAAACAGGAAAGAAAGAAAAAGAAAGGAGUGAAAGUGGGCGAAAGGAAGGAAGGAGGGGAAAGAGAGAGACUUGAUGAAAUCAGUCAAAAUCUGGACCAGCCUAGUUUUCAAUUUCGUUCAAAGUUUAAAAAAAAAACAGGAGUUCCCUGAUGGCUCAGUGGGUUAAGGACCUGGUGCUGUCACUGCUGUGGCACGGGUUCAGUCCCUGAUCCAGGAAUUUCUACAUGCCACUGGUGAAGCCAAAAAAACCAAUCUUUUUAAACAAAAACAAAACAAAACAUGAAUUGGGAGUCUGAGGAUCUGGAGCAGAAUCCUUCUUAGUAAAACAACAUUUAAAACAGUUUUUCAAUAUCAGUAACUAGUUUCUACUGGAAAAUUCUUGGUUAUGUUAAAGUCAUUUUACUCAUCCUUCUCUAGAGGAAGUGUCAAGGCAUUUUUGAAGGGUAAGAUGAGAAGAGUGGUUGUGGAAUAGCUCUAGAACAAAGUGAGUCAUAUAAAUGAUUUGCUGUGUUCUAUAGGAGACAGAUCACGCGUUGCUGAGAUCAUCACAACAGAAAAUAUUGAUUUGUUUAUAAGAAAGUAGAAAGCCACAACUGAGUCAACUCUCACAGAACAAUACAGAAUGAUGCCCUAUAAAAUUCCACAAAGACAAGCUGCAUUGUUAGGCAACCUCCACACAGCCCGGUUUUGCAAGGUGCCCUUAAUGCAGACAUAGAGUCAGCUCUCCUUAAAUCAACACAGUAUGUUAGUAGUGAAGAAAUAAUUUUGUUACUGCUUUUGUUUGUGACAGUUCUAUGGAAUCCUCAAGGCACAGUGCAUACUUUCAAAUGGGAUGAACUAUUCAGUUAGCCCUCCAAAAACAACAGUCCCGUAGGUCAUUGAUAAAUGACACACAAUACACACACUCUCGUUAAAAGUUUGUAUUUUGCAAGUCAAUCUAAAUAAGUAUGACAUGCCAUGUAAUAGACUUAAAAAAAAAACAACAGUUCUCAACUAAGGAUACAAAUUUUGGGAAGACAUACAUGUCAAGACACAGAGGUUUUCACAUAUUGUGAAAAAUGCAGUCACCAUCCCUUCCAAAAUAAUCCCACAUUCUCAAUCAUUGAAGGUUAUUUUCCUUAGAAGGUCCACAUGGGUUCGUGGCAAUGUUAGUAAGUUAGAAAAAAGCUUUGGAAAGAGCUAAGACUGAAAGAGAUAUUUUAUGAGCAGACAAGGCAGUUAUAGGCAUAUACUAGCUCUGUGUGUGUGUGUGUGUGUGUGUGUAUAAAAUGAUCUUAUUUUGAUUCGAAUUCUUGUGUAAAUCUUUCUCUGUAUCUCUCUGGUUCCAUUCACUUUGAUCUCUACCCACCUUGAAAGACACUUGUCUUACUGGUAUUAGUAUGAUUAAUAUUAUCAAAUGUUCUUAAGAAUCAUAUAGAAUCAAACUAAAAGUGGAGAAUUAAGUCAAUUCAGUCUUAUAUGCAUUAAGCAUUCACUUGGCAGAAACUUAACUCAAGGUAGAGAAAUAUUUUUAAAAGGCCAGUUGGGCACUAGCUGAGAAGGACAGGUGUGGAGGUGACAGAGGAAUACGAGUGGAUCCUGGGCUCACAUACUGUCCUUAGAAGUCUUUCCACCCGCUCACCCAGCUUCUCUCUCUGUCUUGGCCAUACGCUCCGUUAAUAUGGUCAGACUUCCUCUAUGUGACGGGCGAAAUGGGCAAUGCUAGCCCACUUAGUUAUACUUGCUGUACAGUGAAUCCAGAAGCGAGAGAGGAACUUUUAACACUCCUAACGAAGAAUGUCCCAGUCUAGUUGAAAUUAUGUGCUUUUCUUUGAAACCCGUCACUGUGGACAGGACAAUGAGUUGGUCAGAAAUCCUAGAAUGAGAACCUAAAUCAUACACACCUUCUCCUAAAUCUGGGAAUAGUUGGGAUUCAUAUGAAUUCCUUCCCAUUCUUUUGAGCUUCCCCACAGAAGUAAGCAGAAGUUUAAGUCUUUUUUCCAAUUCAUAUGGGAACAGCUGAUAGAUACACAUAACAAUUUUCAGCUUACAAAGCAAGCGUUUCUUCACAGAUAUCAUGACAUUUGUUUUAGGUAGUUUGAAUAGGUUUUUGUCACUUGUUGCUGAGGAACCUAAUUCACACGGUUUUGCAGACUUAGUUUUCUACCUUGAAUUCAAUGCAUUACAAUUAUAAUGAUUCCAAAUGAAAACACCUAGAUUUAGAGAUGUUUUUCAAGUACCCAAGGUGAAUAAAAAUUUUCAGAAAUUCAGACCCAAUUCGUGCUUUUUGUUUUUGUCUUAAAAUUUUGAAUGAAACUGAAAACAAAGCAGGUCUAGCUAUUGAUGCAUUUUUCACCGGAUUGAUGAAUUGAUUUUAAAUUUCUGUACUAUCCUUAGCCUGCCUUUUGAGGGCAACCAUGUCUCAAAGCAACAAGAAUGGGUGCUUUCAACUCAGUGAACAUUUAUAAAUUACUUUUUGAUGAAGAAACAAUGACUCCUCUUACACUACAGUAGUCCUUGUUCCUCAUUAAAUCCCAAAUUUGUUAUCAAUAGAAACGGAAAGUCACCUUGGUUCUUACCACACUGUGAGGUGUACACAUUGCUCAAUUUUCUGUCAUUUUGUGGAAGAACCACCGAGCACCACUAGCCUAAUACUUUAUUCAAAAAUGCUGGGAACAAAACUGUUCACGAUGAACAUGGUCACAAAGAAACAAAGGAAGAAUUUAACAGAGCUUUAGCAAGAGAGGUUA